UGUCCAGACUCCUACGGGAGGCAGCAGCGGGGAAUAUUGCACAAUGGGGGAAACCCUGAUGCAGCGACGCCGCGUGAGUGAAGAAGUCUUUCGGUAUGUAAAGCUCUAUCAGCAGGGAAGAUAAUGACGGUACCUGACUAAGAAGCCCCGACUAACUACGUGCCAGCAGCCGCGGUAAUACGUAGGGGGCAAGCGUUAUCCGGAUUUACUGGGUGUAAAGGGUGCGUAGGUGGCAGGGCAAGUCAGAUGUGAAAGCCCGGGGCCCAACCCCGGUACUGCAUUUGAAACUGUCCGGCUGGAGUGCAGGAGAGGUAAGCGGAAUUCCUAGUGUAGCGGUGAAAUGCGUAGAUAUUAGGAGGAACACCAGUGGCGAAGGCGGCUUACUGGACUGUAACUGACACUGAGGCACGAAAGCGUGGGGAGCAAACAGGAUUAGAUACCCCGGUAC
rnacentral:rRNA from 1 species